AGUGAACGCUGGCGGUAGGCCUAACACAUGCGAGUCGAACGGCAGCACAGUAAGAGCUUGCUCUUACGGGAGGCGAGUGGCGGACGGGUGAGGAAUACAUCGGAAUCUACUUUUUCGUGGGGGAAAACGUAGGGAAACUUACGCUAAUACCGCAUACGACCUACGGGCGAAAGCAGGGGAUCUUGGGACCUUGCGCGAUUGAAUGAGCCGAUGUCGGAUUAGCUAGUUGGCGGGGUAAAGGCCCACCAAGGCGACGAUCCGUAGCUGGUCUGAGAGGAUGAUCAGCCACACUGGAACUGAGACACGGUCCAGACUCCUACGGGAGGCAGCAGUGGGGAAUAUUGGACAAUGGGCGCAAGCCUGAUCCAGCCAUACCGCGUGGGUGAAGAAGGCCUUCGGGUUGUAAAGCCCUUUUGUUGGGAAAGAAAAGCAGCAGGUUAAUACCCCGCUGUUCUGACGGUACCCAAAGAAUAAGCACCGGCUAACUUCGUG
rnacentral:rRNA from 1 species